rnacentral:misc_RNA from 1 species
AAGCGCGAGAAGGUUUACCGCGACGAAUAACGCAACCCGCGUCGCAAACUGUUCAUCGAUUUAGCCCGGUGGUCGAAAGAUCAUCGGGCUUUUUCGUUCCGUUUCGGAACAGGUAACAACAAAGGGAGGAUAAUCGUGAAGAUACUUUUGAUCGCACUGGCGCUGGCGACAGCAUCGUUCGCUUUCAUCGGUCAGGCCGAUGCGCGUGGU